ACAGGGGAUGAAGCUACAACCAGGUGGAUGGUGCUGAUGAGCUCCAUUGAUCUGUUUCUCCCAACUCUGCACUCACUCAGAGGCCCCGGGGCCGUCUGGGGGCCCCAGUCCAUCCCUGCUACACCAGACCCACCUGGUUCUACCAGGUCGGGUUGGAGACCCGGCAGAGCCCACAGAGGCCCAGAGAGAACAAGAAGCAACUUUACAUAUUCAACGACGGCGAAGGAAACGAUUCUCAGCAGAGUGAAAAGUUUUCACGUUGAAUCAAACGGCACUUUGACAGAACCAGGAAGCAAACCUGCAGCAGCGAGCGCCACGAAGCUCAGCCAGCGGAUCAGGACCAGCGAUGCUCCAGCCAUCUUCUCCUUCAUCAGUCGCUAAAUGUCUCCAACAGAUCUGCUCUUCCUCCUCUAGAACGACGGUCCGGCUAAAAUGGCUGAAUGACACGCUGAACAAAAUGGCUGCUCCACUCUGACGUCACAUUUCAUGACGUAGCUUUAAAGGAGCCGGUCUGAACGCCUUCCACCAUUUCCUCCUGGAAUAUUYUGAUCGGUUUCUCAUCAUUUCGUCGCUUCAUGUYSUCGUCUCUGUCCAGCCAGAGCCGACGCCUCAGUUGGACUGAGAUCCUGGUCAGACCCAUCAGGAACACCAGCAGCUCUGCUUCAAUGCACAGCAGACGUCAUUUUAACGCUCAGCUUCAUCUCUGAACAUGAACCAACCGCUGCCCUGAUGUCAUAAAUAUCUUACCUUCUCACCUUCAGCAGAUCCAUUUUAAGGUUCUGAUGCAGGCGCAGCUUCUGUCCCACUGGCUGCUGCUUCCUGCUGGCAGCAACAUCCUGGAGGACUGAUUUGGUUAUUCAUCAAGGCGUUCCCUACCUGCACAGAGUCAGCAGCCUCCACCAGGUAGACUCAGGCCAGGAGGUGGACCAAUAGGAGGCCAGCGUUCGGCCUGCGGGUCAGAUCCAGCCAGCAGCGCCUCAUGGGGGGAACGAUUCAACAGCCAGUCGUACUUUUCCAGAUGUGAGCGAGUGACAGGCCUGUCGUGAUGAACAAUAAAUCAAUAAAUCGCAUCAUAAAUGA